CACAACAUGUGACCAAUUUACAUGGAUCAGGAACAUUGAUUAAGUCAGCCACCACGUGGGCUGGACAGGCCAUGAUUAAAAAAAAAUAAUUCAAGGUUGAGUUAUAGAAACCAUCUAAUCAGCGGCCCAUUAGAACGACAGUCCUGAUCACUGUACAUUUCCAUGGGUAUGGUAUAAAGUGCUCAAAGUAUUUCUGUUCCUGAAUUUAUGACUUUCUCCAUCCAUGAAUAUUUGUAGAACUGACUUCA